rnacentral:rRNA from 1 species
GAUGAACGCUGGCGGCGUGCCUAAUACAUGCAAGUCGAGCGAACAGACGAGGAGCUUGCUCCUCUGACGUUAGCGGCGGACGGGUGAGUAACACGUGGAUAACCUACUUAUAAGACUGGGAUAACUUCGGGAAACCGGAGCUAAUACCGGAUAAUAUAUUGAACCGCAUGGUUCAAUAGUGAAAGACGGUUUUGCUGUCACUUAUAGAUGGAUCCGCGCCGCAUUAGCUAGUUGGUAAGGUAACGGCUUACCAAGGCAACGAUGCGUAGCCGACCUGAGAGGGUGAUCGGCCACACUGGAACUGGGACACGGUCCAGACUCCUACGGGAGGCAGCAGUAGGGAAUCUUCCGCAAUGGGCGAAAGCCUGACGGAGCAACGCCGCGUGAGUGAUGAAGGUCUUCGGAUCGUAAAACUCUGUUAUUAGGGAAGAACAAAUGUGUAAGUAACUAUGCACGUCUUGACGGUACCUAAUCAGAAAGCCACGGCUAACUACGUG